CCAGUCACGUGUGUGCCUUUGAAAGCAUUUUUAUAUGUUUACAUAGGAGCAUGCCAAACCUUUAAUCAUGAAUUCCCCUUGCAGAGUCAUUGAACUGGAACCAAACUGAUAGUUACCUUGAGUGUAACUCCAGUAGGUUGGUCUUGUACCCAAGGCCACUGUGAGCAACAUCCUCAGAGGUAACAAAAUGGUACUCAUGGCUUCAUCCCUCUUUACACACCAUGGUAAAUGGCCUUUCUUUUUCUAGUAUAAACCAUUUGUGACCUGUGUUAUCAUACGCACUUACAGCUAAGCAAAUAUCAAUGCUCAGAGAGUUGAAGCACCCUUGCCCAGGAUCCUUGCAACCGGAGGAGUUCCUUGGAGUUCACUUAAGCUUCAAGAAGACUCACACCCGGAACCAGGCUGACUGACAUCCAGCUGCUCCCCUGCCUAACUUCUGGGGCUGCCGUGGGACACAGCGAGGUUGGCUGGUUCUGAAGGAGGAGAUGCUCCCUAAGAAGCCGAGGAAGUCCCUGCGCCUUGCCAGCAGGAUGGAAUCAGAAAAGCUGAGCCAACUUCUACCCCUUUUGGGACUCUGCCUGGACAAAGGAGUCAGGAAGGGAUUGGAGCUGUAUAGGAUUCCUUGUUUGGAAGACUAAACCAUGUGACUAUUUACAACUUUGAGUAGCGACCUACAGAAGCCAUGGAAGAUGCCCAAGAGUUUCCCAAGGAUACAAAGUAGAUGAUUAAAUGAUAAAAAUGAUCUAGGUGCAUAGGAAUCACCCAAUCAGAAAGAGCGCCAUUUGUGUGUGGGCAAAAAUAACCAAACAACUGCUCAAUAAAACUAACUAUUGAAAAUCAUGACUUACAAGCCACAGGCAGUCUUAACAAUUGGUGCUGAUGUGGUAAACUGUCUAA